GGAGCUCUGCUGGGGCUCUUGAGUGCCCAGGUUUGCUUGUGAGAGGAAUACAAGUGGAGCAGAGUCCUCCAGACCUGAUUCUCCAGGAGGGAGCCAAUUCCACGCUGCGGUGCAAUUUUUCUGACUCUGUGAACAAUUUGCAGUGGUUUCAUCAAAACCCUUGGGGACAGCUCAUCAACCUGUUUUACAUUCCCUCAGGGACAAAACAGAAUGGAAGAUUAAGCGCCACGACUGUCGCUACGGAACGCUACAGCUUAUUGUACAUUUCCUCUUCCCAGACCACAGACUCAGGCGUUUAUUUCUUCACUGUGGGUUUUCAGAUGGCCAGAAGCUGCUCUUUGCAAGGGGGACCAUGUUAAAGGUGGAUCUUAUAUCCAGAACCCUGACCCUGCCGUGUACCAGCUGAGA
rnacentral:lncRNA from 1 species